UUAAUUGAAGCCAAAAUAGAGGCAUUUCAUUGUUAAUGAAAUUAAUGAUUUAAUUAUUUAAUCCAAUUAAA
rnacentral:tRNA from 1 species